rnacentral:siRNA from 1 species
UGUGUCUUUGUGUUGUGUAAUAUA